AACGAACGCUGGCGGCAUGCCUAACACAUGCAAGUCGAACGAGACCUUCGGGUCUAGUGGCGCACGGGUGCGUAACGCGUGGGAACCUGCCCUUAGGUUCGGAAUAACUCCCCGAAAGGGGUGCUAAUACCGGAUAAUGUCUUCGGACCAAAGAUUUAUCGCCUUUGGAUGGGCCCGCGUUGGAUUAGCUAGUUGGUAGGGUAAAAGCCUACCAAGGCGACGAUCCAUAGCUGGUCUGAGAGGAUGAUCAGCCACACUGGGACUGAGACACGGCCCAGACUCCUACGGGAGGCAGCAGUGGGGAAUAUUGGACAAUGGGCGAAAGCCUGAUCCAGCAAUGCCGCGUGAGUGAUGAAGGCCUUAGGGUUGUAAAGCUCUUUUACCCGGGAUGAUAAUGACAGUACCGUGAGAAUAAGCCCCGGCUAACUCCGUG
rnacentral:rRNA from 1 species